GGCAGUGUCUGAGCCGCUGGGAGCCGUGGACCACCCAGAAGCGGCGGGACCGAGCACACGCGGACACCGAGGCCGGGACAGCACGGACCAUGGCGCAGAAGCGGAUUAGUAAGGAAUUUAGUGAUUUGGCCCGUGACCCUCCAGCAGUGUUCUGCGGGCCUAGUUGGGGAUGACGUGUUCCAUUGGCAAGCCGCAAUUAUGGGACCCAGUGACAGCCCAUAUCAAGAAAUAAAGAUGGCUAAAGAAAGGAGAGAGGCCACUUGGUGCUCCCUGAGUUCCUGGAAGAUUUCUGCUUGUCUUCUGAUGCCUACCUCUGCUUCAUGCCACCCUGAGAGACAGGUAUUUUUUCCACCUUGCAAAUGAGAAAAUCAAGAUGUUAAGAGAUGAAGUUACUGGCCCAGUCAUCC